ensembl:lncRNA
CGCACACCUGGCCCCUAUUCCCAGUGAUUGCAUCCUUGAUACCAAUGUGACACAGACAGUUUUACCAUUUCUGCCAGGCGAUGAUGGAUUCCUGUGUUGCCACGGAUGCGCAAACCCACAGCAUUGCAGACUCUGGCAAUCGGCCAUCUUCGAUUCCUAACCAGGAUGUGGAGUCAAACACAGAGGACAGCAAUGCAGGUGACAGCUUCAGAUGAACAUGGUACCUUCAGGCGUUUGGAAAUUGCUCCCAAGGAUGAACCAGACUUGUGGAGGUCUACAAUUUUUAUCUGAUUUCUUUUGAUUUCCCCAUGAUGUCAAGCAAAGAGGCACUGAGUUUCAAGCAGGUUGAGGAGCAUGCUCUCGCUGCACACUCAUGCCCCUCUGCACACUUAAGAAAGGAAUAAAGGAGAGAGAGGAGGAUAUGGAAACACAUGGUGGUUUUCUGUAUAGAUAAGUUAAUGUUUCACACAAUUAAUUAUGAAAAUAUUUAAAAAAUCACAAAUUGACUAAUUACUAAAG